UACGUAGGGUGCAAGCGUUUGUCCGGAAUUAUUGGGCGUAAAGAGCUCGUAGGCGGUCUGUCGCGUCUGCUGUGAAAACCCGAGGCUCAACCUCGGGCCUGCAGUGGGUACGGGCAGACUAGAGUGCGGUAGGGGAGAUUGGAAUUCCUGGUGUAGCGGUGGAAUGCGCAGAUAUCAGGAGGAACACCAAUGGCGAAGGCAGAUCUCUGGGCCGUAACUGACGCUGAGGAGCGAAAGCAUGGGGAGCGAACAGG
rnacentral:rRNA from 1 species